AGGAAUAUUGGUCAAUGGACGCAAGUCUGAACCAGCCAUGCCGCGUGCAGGAUGACGGCUCUAUGAGUUGUAAACUGCUUUUGUACGAGGGUAAACGCAGAUACGUGUAUCUGUCUGAAAGUAUCGUACGAAUAAGGAUCGGCUAACUCCGUGCCAGCAGCCGCGGUAAUACGGAGGAUUCAAGCGUUAUCCGGAUUUAUUGGGUUUAAAGGGUGCGUAGGCGGUUUGAUAAGUUAGAGGUGAAAUUUCGGGGCUCAACCCUGAACGUGCCUCUAAUACUGUUGAGCUAGAGAGUAGUUGCGGUAGGCGGAAUGUAUGGUGUAGCGGUGAAAUGCUUAGAGAUCAUACAGAACACCGAUUGCGAAGGCAGCUUACCAAACUAUAUCUGACGUUGAGGCACGAAAGCGUGGGGAGCAAACAGGAUUAGAUACCCUGGUAGUCCACGCAGUAAACGAUGAUAACUCGUUGUCGGCGAUACACAGUCGGUGACUAAGCGAAAGCGAUAAGUUAUCCACCUGGGGAGUACGUUCGCAAGAAUGAAACUCAAAGGAAUUGACGGGGGCCCGCACAAGCGGAGGAACAUGUGGUUUAAUUCGAUGAUACGCGAGGAACCUUACCCGGGCUUGAAAGUUAGCGACGAUUCUUGAAAGAGGAUUUCCCUUCGGGGCGCGAAACUAGGUGCUGCAUGGUUGUCGUCAGCUCGUGCCGUGAGGUGUCGGGUUAAGUCCCAUAACGAGCGCAACCCCUACCGUUAGUUGCCAUCAGGUCAAGCUGGGCACUCUGGCGGGACUGCCGGUGUAAGCCGAGAGGAAGGUGGGGAUGACGUCAAAUCAGCACGGCCCUUACGUCCGGGGCUACACACGUGUUACAAUGGUAGGUACAGAGGGCAGCUACCCAGCGAUGGGAUGCGAAUCUCGAAAGCCUAUCUCAGUUCGGAUUGGAGGCUGAAACCCGCCUCCAUGAAGUUGGAUUCGCUAGUAAUCGCGCAUCAGCCAUGGCGCGGUGAAUACGUUCCCG
rnacentral:rRNA from 1 species